rnacentral:rRNA from 1 species
GAACGCUGGCGGCGUGCCUAAUACAUGCAAGUAGAACGCUGAAGACUGGUGCUUGCACUAGUCAGAUGAGUUGCGAACGGGUGAGUAACGCGUAGGUAACCUACCUCAUAGCGGGGGAUAACUAUUGGAAACGAUAGCUAAUACCGCAUGACAAUUAAGUACUCAUGUACUAAAUUUAAAAGGAGCAAUUGCUUCACUAUGAGAUGGACCUGCGUUGUAUUAGCUAGUUGGUGAGGUAACGGCUCACCAAGGCCACGAUACAUAGCCGACCUGAGAGGGUGAUCGGCCACACUGGGACUGAGACACGGCCCAGACUCCUACGGGAGGCAGCAGUAGGGAAUCUUCGGCAAUGGGGGCAACCCUGACCGAGCAACGCCGCGUGAGUGAAGAAGGUUUUCGGAUCGUAAAGCUCUGUUGUUAGAGAAGAACGGUAAUGGGAGUGGAAAAUCCAUUACGUGACGGUAACUAACCAGAAAGGGACGGCUAACUACGUGCCAGCAGCCGCGGUAAUACGUAGGUCUCGAGCGUUGUCCGGAUUUAUUGGGCGUAAAGCGAGCGCAGGCGGUUAUUUAAGUCUGAAGUUAAAGGCCGUGGCUCAACCAUGGUUCGCUUUGGAAACUGGAUAACUUGAGUGCAGAAGGGGAGAGUGGAAUUCCAUGUGUAGCGGUGAAAUGCGUAGAUAUAUGGAGGAACACCGGUGGCGAA